GAAGGUUCCUGGCAGUUCACUGUUUAUUUGAGGAACUCAAACCCCAUUUGAGAGCUCACCAUGGCCUGGCCUCUGUCCGCCUUUGCACUUCUCACCUAUUUGUCAGGUGUCCUUUGUCAACAUACAAUGACUCAACUUGCCUCUGAGUCUGUGUCCCCAGGACAGAUGGCUAAACUCUCUUGUACAGCCAGCGAUAGUCACAGUGGCACCUAUAUUUUCUGGUAUCAACAGAAACCUAGGCAGGCCCCUCGCUUUGUGCAUGUUAAUGGUGGCAGCAGGGGAGAAGGGAUCCCUGAUCGAUUCACUGCUUCUGCCACUGGAACCAAUGGCUAUUUAACCAUCACUGACCUCCAGGUUGAAGAUGAGGCUGACUAUUACUGUGCAGCUUGGUUUAACAGCUAUAACUUGUUGCACAGUGAUCAAGUCUUAUGGGGAACUGAGACAAAAAUCCCUUUACUCUUCCUGCUUCACAGCUCUGAAGACACCACUGAGCAGACAAAGUAACAGUACUCUUAAAUGUAAGGCUGUAUUACUGAAAUGCUCUCUAUGUGAGACUACCCUUGUGACUAGCCCGGAAGC